rnacentral:rRNA from 1 species
AUUGAACGCUGGCGGCAGGCCUAACACAUGCAAGUCGAGCGGCAGAAGGGAGAUUGCUUCCUGUUUCAGGGGGCGAGGGGCGGGUGAUGGCUAAGAAUAUCGCACUUUGCUGGUGCUUACGUCCGAACGCAGGGGCUCAUACCGCAUACGUGCUGAGGGAGUACGGGGGGGAGCUUCGGAUCUUCCGCCUUUUGAUGAUCCUAGGUCGGAUUAGCUAGUUGGUGGGGUAAAGGGCUACCAAGGCGACGAUCCGUAACUGGUCUGAGAGGAUGAUCAGUCACACUGGAACUGAGACACGGUCCAGACUCCUACGGGAGGCAGCAGUGGGGAAUAUUGGACAAUGGGCGAAAGCCUGAUCCAGCCAUGCCGCGUGUGUGAAGAAGGUCUUCGGAUUGUAAAGCACUUUAAGUUGGGAGGAAGGGCAGUAAGUUAAUACCUUGCUGUUUUGACGUUACCAACAGAAUAAGCACCGGCUAACUUCGUG